rnacentral:lncRNA from 1 species
AGCUGCUAGUGGAGUCCCGCUGCUUGGCGGGCUCUCGGUCGGGUUCCCGCGCCGGGCAAGGGGCGGCUGAGGAAGCAGGAGCGGUCUUUAGCCCCUCCAGCGGCAACCCCAGGCCCCGGCCUGGUGGAAGAUAUGAAGAGAAAUGCAAUUGGUUUCCACAGGGCUACGGGUCAAAGCGGCUGCCAAGGCCUGUCCCCUAGAAGUCAGGACCCCUUCGUCCUCCGCUCACCUGGCGGCCAGCUCCUGGCGUUUCCGGACACUUAGAUUCCUGCCUGCUUGGGAAAGCGAUCAGAAAAAGGUUGCCCUUCUCACCGCUCUGCUGAACAGCGACGGCUUCAGAAACGCAUCCCAUCCAAGAGUCACUGGCUUGUAACAUGAAGCAACUUUUUUUUUUUUAAUACGGGGUCUCGCUCUGUUGCCCAGGCUGCUGGAGUGCAGUGGCACGGUCUCGGCUCACUGCAAUCUCCGCCUCCCAGACUCAAGCGAUUCUCCUGCCUCAGCCUCCCAAGUAGCUGGGAUUACAAGCACCCGCAACCACACCUGGCUAAUUUUUGUAUUUUUAUUAGAGACAGGGUUUCACCUAAGCAACUUUUUUAUAUAGAAUCUUGCGAAACCGUUUGCAAGAUACCCUUGCUGAUCGCUGUGG